UGGGGAAUAUUGGACAAUGGGCGCAAGCCUGAUCCAGCCAUGCCGCGUGAGUGAUGAAGGCCUUAGGGUUGUAAAGCUCUUUCGCCGGUGAAGAUAAUGACGGUAACCGGAGAAGAAGCCCCGGCUAACUUCGUGCCAGCAGCCGCGGUAAUACGAAGGGGGCUAGCGUUGCUCGGAAUCACUGGGCGUAAAGCGCACGUAGGCGGAUCGUUAAGUCAGGGGUGAAAUCCUGGAGCUCAACUCCAGAACUGCCCUUGAUACUGGCGAUCUCGAGUUCGAGAGAGGUUGGUGGAACUCCGAGUGUAGAGGUGAAAUUCGUAGAUAUUCGGAAGAACACCAGUGGCGAAGGCGGCCAACUGGCUCGAUACUGACGCUGAGGUGCGAAAGCGUGGGGAGCAAAACAGGAUUAGAUACCCUGGUAGUCCACGCCAUAAACGAUGGAUGCUAGCCGUUGGGGGGUUUACCUCUCAGUGGCGCAGCUAACGCCUUAAGCAUCCCGCCUGGGGAGUACGGUCGCAAGAUUAAAACUCAAAUGAAUUGACGGGGUCAUAGCUGUUUCCU
rnacentral:rRNA from 1 species